GGUCAUGAGUGUCAGCGCACAGCCCCGGCUUGCUGACCAGCAACCCUCCACCGCGGUGGGGUGCUCCGGGUGACGACCGGGCCGCCUGCAGGAGCAGGUGGCAAGCGCGGACC
rfam:Phycicoccus sp. Soil748 contig_6, whole genome shotgun sequence.